UACGGAGGAUGCGAGCGUUAUCCGGAUUUAUUGGGUUUAAAGGGUGCGUAGGCGGUCCGUUAAGUCAGCGGUAAAAUUGCGGGGCUCAACCCCGUCGAGCCGUUGAAACUGGCAGACUUGAGUUGGCGAGAAGUACGCGGAAUGCGCGGUGUAGCGGUGAAAUGCAUAGAUAUCACGAAGAACCCCGAUUGCGAAGGCAGCCUGCCGCAGCGUUACUGACGCUGAAGCUCGAAAGCGCGGGUAUCGAACAGG
rnacentral:rRNA from 1 species